rnacentral:rRNA from 1 species
UACAGAGGGUGCAAGCGUUAAUCGGAAUUACUGGGCGUAAAGCGUGCGUAGACGGUUGCGUAAGUCAGAUGUGAAAGCCCCGGGCUUAACCUGGGAAUUGCGAUGGUGACUGCAAGGCUAGAGUUUGGCAGAGGGGGGUAGAAUUCCACGUGUAGCAGUGAAAUGCGUAGAGAUGUGGAGGAACACCGAUGGCGAAGGCAGCCCCCUGGGUCAAAACUGACGCUCAUGCACGAAAGCGUGGGGAGCAAACAGG